UGCUGACCCAUCGGAUGGUUAUCACAUAGAGGAUUGGCUUAAUCUAGAAUCAUGGAUACCUUUCAUAUCUGCGCAUCACAAGUUGGAACUAGUGGUCAAAAUUGGGACAAUGUUGCCCAAAAUAAAUGUUUUCAUGGAGUGAACAAGACCUGCCAACAGAGCUCACUGGAGCAGGGAGACAUCCC